rnacentral:tRNA from 1 species
GUCGAUGUAGCUCAAUUGGCGAGAGCGUACGACUGAAGUCAAUAGCAUUCGUAAGGUUGGGCGUUCGAUUCGCCCCAUCGACA